UUUUGAAUAAUUUACUUAGCUUUGCGGAGGGUGUCGCGGUGGUGGAACAAUGGGAAUUUAAUGAGGGGAACUAUUCCGGCUGUGUUAAGUUUGCUGAGGUACGGUACUUGUCAAAGAAAAAAGAGAGAGAAAGAAAACAGCGAACAAGCACCGUGGAAAGCUACGCGUCAUUUCCAAGACACCAGCAACAAGCCAACACCAUUACACCAGCCUGCCGUGUGAAUGGCACACGGGGUGUCUUCCUCUGUUGAACUGGUGCAGGGUAGCCACGCUGUGACCAGGAUCCAACUGAGAUUCUGGGCUUUCCAGCAGCAUGAAAGAUAAGUUCAUCUCCUGAGGCUAGAACUUCCACUCUGGGUUGACUCACUGACAGCUGCAUCCAGAGGUUCAUGCGAACCUUCACAUGUCACGUGCACUGAUCUCUAGCAUUAGAAGACUCAAAGCAUCACCACACCAUCAUGUUUCUACACAAGCGUAUCUUGAACUGCACUCCACCUGCCACCCCAU